UACGUAGGGGGCAAGCGUUGUCCGGAUUUAUUGGGCGUAAAGAGCGUGUAGGCGGCCAAACAGGUCAGCUGUGAAAACUCGAGGCUCAACCUCGAGACGUCGGUUGAAACCGUUUGGCUAGAGUCCGGAAGAGGAGAGUGGAAUUCCCGGUGUAGCGGUGAAAUGCGCAGAUAUCGGGAGGAACACCUGUGGCGAAAGCGGCUCACUGGACCACAACUGACGCUGAGGCGCGAAAGCUAGGGGAGCAAACAGG
rnacentral:rRNA from 1 species